rnacentral:rRNA from 1 species
CCUACGGGUGGCAGCAGUGAGGAAUAUUGGUCAAUGGGAGAGAUACUGAACCAGCCAAGCCGCGUGAGGGAAGACGGCCCUAUGGGUUGUAAACCUCUUUUGUCAGAGAACAAAACCCGGGACGUGUCCCGGACUGCGUGUAUCCGAAGAAAAAGCAUCGGCUAACUCCGUGCCAGCAGCCGCGGUAAUACGGAGGAUGCGAGCGUUAUCCGGAUUUAUUGGGUUUAAAGGGUGCGUAGGCGGUCCGUUAAGUCAGCGGUAAAAGUGCGGGGCUCAACCCCGUCGAGCCGUUGAAACUGGCAGACUUGAGUUGGCGAGAAGUACGCGGAAUGCGCGGUGUAGCGGUGAAAGGCAUAGAUAUCGCGCAGAACUCCGAUUGCGAAGGCAGCGUACCGGCGCCAGACUGACGCUGAGGCACGAAAGCGUGGGGAUCGAACAGGAUUAGAUACCCGGGUAGUC